AUUGAACGCUGGCGGCAGGCUUAACACAUGCAAGUCGAGCGAGCGGCGGACGGGUGAGUAAUGUCUGGGAAACUUCCUGAUGGAGGGGGAUAACUACUGGAAACGGUAGCUAAUACCGCAUACCAUCAGAUGUGCCCAAAUGGGAUUAGCUAGUAGGUGGGGUAAUGGCUCACCAAGGCGACGAUCCCUAGCUGGUCUGAGAGGACGAACAGCAACACUGGAACUGAGACACGGUCCAGACUCCUACGGGAGGCAGCAGUGGGGAAUAUUGCACAAUGGGGGCAAGCCUGAUGCAGCCAUGCCGCGUGUGUGAAGAAGGCCUUCGGGUUGUAAAGCACUUUUAGCGAGGAGGCGUUACUCGCAGAAGAAGCACCGGCUAACUCCGUGCCAGCAGCCGCGGUAAUUC
rnacentral:rRNA from 1 species